rnacentral:rRNA from 1 species
GGCCAUCAACGGAUGCGCAGGCACGCAAUUACCCAAUGAACGAAGUUCGAGGUAGUGACGAAAAAUAACGAUAGCACACUCAUCCGAGGCCUGCUAAUUGGAAUGAGUACACUUUAAAACCGUCCCCGAGGAUCUAUUGGAGGGCAAGUCUGGUGCCAGCAGCCGCGGUAAUUCCAGCUCCAAUAGCGUAUAUUAAAGUUGUUGUGGUUGAAAAGCUCGUAGUUGGAUCUCAACAGACCCGGAUCGGUUUACUUUGUGUAAUACUGAUCCGGACCUGUGCUUUUGCUGGAGGUUUAGGGGUGCUCUUAACCGAGUGUCUCUGAGUGCCAGCAGGUUUACUUUGAAGAAAAUUGGUUGCCCAAGGAAGGCUGUUAUGCCUGAAAAUUUGUGCAUGGAAUAAUAGAAUAGGAUGUUGAUCUUAUUUUGUUGGUUUUCAAGACUCGACAUAAUGAUUAAUAGGGACAGUCGGGGGCAUUUGUAUUCAAACGACAGAGGUGAAAUUCUUGGACCGUUUGAAGACAAACUACUGCGAAAGCAUUUGCCAAGAAUGUUUUCAUUAAUCAAGAACGAAAGUUAGAGGUUCGAAGGCGAUUAGAUACCGCCCUAGUUCUAACCAUAAACGAUGCCAGCUAGCGAUCUGCUGACGUUUUUACUGUAGACUCAGCAGGAAGCUUCCGGGAAACCAAAGCAUUUGGGUUCCAGGGGAAGUAUGGUUGCAAAGCUGAAACUUAAAGGAAUUGACGGAAGGGCACCACCAGCAGUGGAGCCUGCGGCUUAAUUUGACUCAACACGGGGAAACUUACCAGGGCCAGACAUGAUAAGGAUUGACAGGCUGAAAGACCUUUCUUGAUUCUAUGGGUGGUGGUGCAUGGCCGUUUUUGGUUGGUGACGUGAGUCGUCAGGUUAAUUCCGAUAACGAACGAGACCUCUAUCUGCUAACUAGUGUCGCACAUUGUAGAUGUGCUUGAGCACUUCUUAGAGGGACUAUGUACGUUUAGUGCAUGGAAGUUGGAGGCAAUAACAGGUCUGUGAUGCCCUUAGAUGUUCUGGGCCGCACGCGUGCUACACUGACCAGUGCAACACGUAUUUGUCCCUUGGCCGAAAGGUCUGGGCAAUCUACGAAAACUGGUCGUGCUGGGGAUCGAUUCUUGCAAUUGUUAGUCUUGAACGAGGAACUCCUAGUAAACGCGGUUCAUCAUACCGCAUUGAUUACGUCCCUGCCCUUUGUACACACCGCCCGUCGCAUUUACCGAGUGGGUGAUCCGGUGAGGUCUUUGGAGGGAGGCGCUUACGCAGCCCGACAGCUGAACAAAAUCUAUCCCCCCAAAA